UAUAUGUAUGUUGGAGUGUUAAGGCCGUUUUACAGUCGCCGCAGCCGAGCUCGCGCGCGCCAAUGUGACAUCAAAAUGAUGUAGAUCUCGCUGGCGUGCCAGGAUUUUGAGUGCACGACCAGAGGGCGCGCACCACUCUAUUUUUUUCAGCGGCGCGCGACAAAGCGUAAACAGGAAG